rnacentral:rRNA from 1 species
AGUGAACGCUGGCGGCGUGCUUAACACAUGCAAGUCGAACGAGAACGGAUUAUAGCUUGCUAUAAUUGUCAGCUAAGUGGCGCACGGGUGAGUAAUGUAUAGGUAAUAUGCCUCUUACUAAGGGAUAACAAAUGGAAACGUUUGCUAAUACCUUAUACUCCUUAUUAACAGAAGUUAAUAAGGGAAAGAUUUAUUGGUAAGAGAUUAGCCUGUAUUGUAUCAGUUAGUUGGUGGGGUAAUGGCUUACCAAGACUAUGACACAUAACUGGUUUGAGAGGAUGAUCGGUCAUGCUGGAACUGAGACACGGUCCAGAAUCCUACGGGAGGCAGCAGUGGGGAAUAUUGCACAAUGGACGAAAGUCUGAUGCAGCAACGCCGCGUGGAGGAUGACACAUUUCGGUGCGUAAACUCCUUUUAUAUGAGAAGAUAAUGACGGUAUUAUAUGAAUAAGCACCGGCUAACUCCGUGCCAGCAGCCGCCGUAA